UCGAGGGGUAGAGUGCUUCGGCACUUGAGACCGGCGCACGGGUGCGUAACACGUGUACAAUCUACCUUUUGCUAAGGGAUAGCCCGAAGAAAUUUGGAUUAAUACCUUAUAGUAUUGUUUGGUGGCAUCACUGAAUAAUUAAAGCUCUGGUGGCAAAAGAUGAGUACGCGUCCCAUUAGCUAGUUGGUGUGGUAACGGCAUACCAAGGCUACGAUGGGUAGGGGUCCUGAGAGGGAGGUCCCCCACACUGGUACUGAGACACGGACCAGACUCCUACGGGAGGCAGCAGUGAGGAAUAUUGGACAAUGGUCGGAAGACUGAUCCAGCCAUGCCGCGUGCAGGAUGACGGCCUUAUGGGUUGUAAACUGCUUUUAUACAGGAAGAAUAAGGUCUACGAGUAGAUUGAUGACGGUACUGUAUGAAUAAGCAUCGGCUAACUCCGUGCCAGCAG
rnacentral:rRNA from 1 species